AGUGAACGCUGGCGGUAGGCCUAACACAUGCAAGUCGAACGGCAGCACAGUAAGAGCUUGCUCUUACGGGUGGCGAGUGGCGGACGGGUGAGGAAUACAUCGGAAUCUACUUUUUCGUGGGGGAUAACGUAGGGAAACUUACGCUAAUACCGCAUACGACCUACGGGUGAAAGCAGGGGAUCUUCGGACCUUGCGCGAUUGAAUGAGCCGAUGUCGGAUUAGUUAGUUGGCGGGGUAAAGGCCCACCAAGGCGACGAUCCGUAGCUGGUCUGAGAGGAUGAUCAGCCACACUGGAACUGAGACACGUUCCAGACUCCUACGGGAGGCAGCAGUGGGGAAUAUUGGACAAUGGGCGCAAGCCUGAUCCAGCCAUACCGCGUGGGUGAAGAAGGCCUUCGGGUUGUAAAGCCCUUUUGUUGGGAAAGAAAAGCAGCAGGUUAAUACCCCGCUGUUCUGACGGUACCCAAAGAAUAAGCACCGGCUAACUUCGUG
rnacentral:rRNA from 1 species